rnacentral:rRNA from 1 species
CACGUAGGGCGCAAGCGUUGUCCGGAAUUAUUGGGCGUAAAGAGCUCGUAGGCGGUCUGUUGCGUCCGCUGUGAAAACCCGGGGGCUCAACUCCGGGCUUGCAUUCGAUACGGGCAGGCUAGAGUUCGGUAGGGGAGUCUGGAAUUCCUGGUGUAGCGGUGAAAUGCGCAGAUAUCAGGAGGAACACCGGUGGCGAAGGCGGGACUCUGGGCCGAUACUGACGCUGAGGAGCGAAAGCGUGGGGAGCGAACAGG